rnacentral:rRNA from 1 species
GACGAACGCCGGCGGCGUGCUUAACACAUGCAAGUCGAACGAUGAAGCCCAGCUUGCUGGGUGGAUUAGUGGCGAACGGGUGAGUAACACGUGGGCAACCUGCCCCAAACUCUGGGAUAACUCCUCGAAAGAGGUGCUAAUACCGGAUACGAACUAGACAGACAUCUGUACUAGUUGGAAAGUUCUUCGGUUUGGGAUGGGCCCGCGGCCUAUCAGCUUGUUGGUGAGGUAACGGCUCACCAAGGCUACGACGGGUAACCGGCCUGAGAGGGCGACCGGUCACACUGGGACUGAGACACGGCCCAGACGCCUACGGGAGGCAGCAGUGGGGAAUAUUGCGCAAUGGGCGAAAGCCUGACGCAGCGACGCCGCGUGAGGGAUGAAGGUCUUCGGAUCGUAAACCUCUUUCAGUAGGGACGAAGCGAAAGUGACGGUACCUAAAGAAGAAGCACCGGCUAACUACGUGCCAGCCGCCGCAGUAA